rnacentral:tRNA from 1 species
CAGGAUGUGGCUGAGCAGCUAAGCAUCUCAUUUACACUGAGAAUACAUUCAUGCAAAUUGAAUCACCCUGA